rnacentral:lncRNA from 12 species
UUGCACUGAAUCAAAGUUGUUAUAUCUUUGUAUUAGUUGUUGAUUUUUUGUUGGCAUUGUUAAUUGCAUAUAACAAAUAGUUUUUUUUUUUUUUUUUUUUUUUUUUUUUAAGGAGGCUUCACACCCAGCAUGGAGCCCAAUGUGGUGCUUGAACUCAUGACCCUGAGAUCAAGAUCCAAGCUGAGAUCAAGAAUCAGAUGCUUAAUGGACUGAGCCACCCAGGCGCCCCUGUAACAAAUAAUUCCAUUAAAUACUGUUGAAACAGUAUUUUACCGAGGGAGGCUUACAGAUAUAUUUUGCAGCCAACAUGAGAAUAGAAUAAUAGAAGAACAUCAAAUAAGGAAAUCAACCCUAACCCUUUUUCUGACUGAGAACACCCUCAUACUGCAUGGCUCCAAAUAAACAAAGUGCUGAUGGGAAUCGCCUGCCUCUAGGAUAUUCAAGACUUGUGGAGUAGUGGCUUUAUUUUGUAGCACUUGUUUGUAUUGUAACCCCAUUAGAAUGGGCCCAUUUGGUUGGGCUUAAAGGUUGGUCUUUUCCAUUUUUUAAUGGUCAAUUCUCCAUUCCUCACAGAUUAUAGACCUUGAACUCACUAGUUGUUAAGUCUAAAAUGCUGGCCAGUAAGUCUUCUGGACAAAUUCCAAGCUGGGGUCUGUCAGGUAAAUAGUUAACAGGACAAGACAAAGAGAAUUAGGCACUGCUCUUCCAUUAUUGACCACCAUCUUAUUCAUCACUUUGUGCUGAAAUCUCUUUUUUAAGCACACAGUUAUUUGCAGUUUUUAUUGAUCUUUCCUUGGCCUUUGCCUCUGUGGUCAGGAAUCUAUUCUGAACUUCGCUGUUUAGCUUCAUAGAAUCCCCAGAGCUACUAAAACUAAUGUAGAAGCUGUACUUUAAUGGCAUAUGAAAAUCUGGGUCAAUAGAUAAAUUUAAUUCAGUUGGAAGUAAAAUGUAAUGUGAUGUAGUCUACACCUUCAUUUUAAAGCAACUCUUUUGUAAUGGCUUGACAUCAUCUCUCUCUGAGCUGUGUGGAUGACCCCUUGCUAAGGAGAUAAGCACUCCUAUAUGCUGAUACCAUGAUUUUAUUAUCAGGAUUUACUGUAAUCUCUUACUGUAAAAAAAUGUCAGUAGAUCCUCUUUAAAGAAUCCAGUAAUUUAUGGGAAUUUAGUAUAUUAAGGUG